rnacentral:rRNA from 1 species
CCUACGGGAGGCAGCAGUGGGGAAUAUUGCACAAUGGGGGAAACCCUGAUGCAGCGACGCCGCGUGAGUGAAGAAGUAUUUCGGUAUGUAAAGCUCUAUCAGCAGGGACGAGACAAGACGGUACCUGACUAAGAAGCGCCGGCUAACUACGGGCCCGCAGCCGGGGUAAUACGUAGGGGGCAAGCGUUAUCCGGAAUCACUGGGUGUAAAGGGAGCGUAGACGGGUGAGCAAGCCUGAAGUGAAAGGCGGGGGACCAACCCCUGGACUGCUUUGGGAACUGUACGGGUGGAGUGCAGGGGGUGUAAGUGGAAUGCCUAGUGUAGCGGUGAAAUGCGUAGAUAUUAGGAGGAACACCAGUGGCGAAGGCGGCUUACUGGACUGUAACUGACGUUGAGGCUCGAAAGCGUGGGGAGCAAACAGGAUUAGAUACCCUUGUAGUC